GAUGAACGCUGGCGGCGUGCCUAAUACAUGCAAGUCGAGCGAACGGACGAGAAGCUUGCUUCUCUGAUGUUAGCGGCGGACGGGUGAGUGACACGUGGAUAACCUACCUAUAAGACUGGGAUAACUUCGGGAAACCGGAGCUAAUACCGGAUAAUAUUUUGAACCGCAUGGUUCAAAAGUGAAAGACGGUCUUGCUGUCACUUAUAGAUGGAUCCGCGCUGCAUUAGCUAGUUGGUAAGGUAACGGCUUACCAAGGCAACGAUGCAUAGCCGACCUGAGAGGGUGAUCGGCCACACUGGAACUGAGACACGGUCCAGACUCCUACGGGAGGCAGCAGUAGGGAAUCUUCCGCAAUGGGCGAAAGCCUGACGGAGCAACGCCGCGUGAGUGAUGAAGGUCUUCGGAUCGUAAAACUCUGUUAUUAGGGAAGAACAUAUGUGUAAGUAACUGUGCACAUCUUGACGGUACCUAAUCAGAAAGCCACGGCUAACUACGUGCCAGCAGCCGCGGUAAUACGUAGGUGGCAAGCGUUAUCCGGAAUUAUUGGGCGUAAAGCGCGCGUAGGCGGUUUUUUAAGUCUGAUGUGAAAGCCCACGGCUCAACCGUGGAGGGUCAUUGGAAACUGGAAAACUUGAGUGCAGAAGAGGAAAGUGGAAUUCCAUGUGUAGCGGUGAAAUGCGCAGAGAUAUGGAGGAACACCAGUGGCGAAGGCGACUUUCUGGUCUGUAACUGACGCUGAUGUGCGAAAGCGUGGGGAUCAAACAGGAUUAGAUACCCUGGUAGUCCACGCCGUAAACGAUGAGUGCUAAGUGUUAGGGGGUUUCCGCCCCUUAGUGCUGCAGCUAACGCAUUAAGCACUCCGCCUGGGGAGUACGACCGCAAGGUUGAAACUCAAAGGAAUUGACGGGGACCCGCACAAGCGGUGGAGCAUGUGGUUUAAUUCGAAGCAACGCGAAGAACCUUACCAAAUCUUGACAUCCUUUGACAACUCUAGAGAUAGAGCCUUCCCCUUCGGGGGACAAAGUGACAGGUGGUGCAUGGUUGUCGUCAGCUCGUGUCGUGAGAUGUUGGGUUAAGUCCCGCAACGAGCGCAACCCUUAAGCUUAGUUGCCAUCAUUAAGUUGGGCACUCUAAGUUGACUGCCGGUGACAAACCGGAGGAAGGUGGGGAUGACGUCAAAUCAUCAUGCCCCUUAUGAUUUGGGCUACACACGUGCUACAAUGGACAAUACAAAGGGCAGCGAAACCGCGAGGUCAAGCAAAUCCCAUAAAGUUGUUCUCAGUUCGGAUUGUAGUCUGCAACUCGACUACAUGAAGCUGGAAUCGCUAGUAAUCGUAGAUCAGCAUGCUACGGUGAAUACGUUCCCGGGUCU
rnacentral:rRNA from 1 species